rnacentral:rRNA from 1 species
AGCAGCCGCGGUAAUUCCAGCUUCAAUAGCGUAUAUUAAAGUUGCUGCAGUUAAAAAGCUCGUAGUUGAAUUUCGGGACCAUCAUGUCGGUCGUGCCUCGGUACGUACUGGCAUUGUUAGUUUCUACCUUCUGACGAACCAUGAUGUCAUUUAUUUGGUGUUGUGGGAAAUCAGGACUGUUACCUUGAAAAAAUUAGAGUGUUUAAAGCAGGCAUUUUGCUUGAAUACAUUAGCAUGGAAUAAUAAAAUAGGACGGCAUGAUUCUAUUUUGUUGGUUUCUAGGAUCACCGUAAUGAUUAAUAGGGAUAGUUGGGGGCAUUAGUAUUCAAUUGUCAGAGGUGAAAUUCUUGGAUUUAUUGAAGACUAACUACUGCGAAAGCAUUUGCCAAGGAUGUUUUCAUUAAUCAAGAACGAAAGUUAGGGGAUCGAAGACGAUCAGAUACCGUCGUAGUCUUAACCAUAAACUAUGCCGACUAGGAAUCAGACGAUGUUAUUCUCAUGACUCGCCCGGCGCCUUAUGGGCAAA